AUAUGUCCCUCUUCGCAGUCUCAUUGAUUCAAGUGUCUGUAUUUGUGAGGAGAAAAGGAUGUUCUAACAACUUUUCCUUUUAAGUUGUUAGUGUGAUUAUCAGCACUGAGGUCCAUUUGUUUAGCAGCUGAACUGCUUUAAUACAUCAUUCAGAUCCCCGUGUCUCUUACGCACUGAACUUUCCUGUAUCUUUUCUCAUUCUUAUCAUCUGUCAUAAGGGACCAUCAUGGAGGUAUGCAGUUUCUUGAUUUCAAACUGAGUUGCUGUUGAAAAUUUGAAGAAUCUCUAGCUACUUCGACAAGAAAAAUGGACUUAAGACUUUUACGUGAAUGACAUCUGUUGUUGGAGAAGAAGCAUGACAGAUUUGGGCAAAAUAAUGAGCAUUCCUUUAAAGGCCAACUGAGGACGAAAGGUAUGACAGCUUGUGAGGUUUGCUUACCCUCAGGAAGAAUCAAGUAACUGGACAUUUUUAG